UGAUACGGAGGGGGCUAGCGUUAUUCGGAAUUACUGGGCGUAAAGCGCACGUAGGCGGAUUGGAAAGUCAGAGGUGAAAUCCCAGGGCCCAACCUUGGAACUGCCUUUGAAACUCCCAGUCUUGAGGUCGUGAGAGGUGAGUGGAAUUCCGAGUGUAGAGGUGAAAUUCGUAGAUAUUCGGAGGAACACCAGUGGCGAAGGCGGCUCACUGGCACGAUACUGACGCUGAGGUGCGAAAGCGUGGGGAGCAAACAGG
rnacentral:rRNA from 1 species